rnacentral:tRNA from 1 species
GGAGGGCUCGCAUAGUGGCCUAGUGCGGCGGUCUUGAAAACCGCUAUGGGGUGACCCCCCAUCGUGGGUUCGAAUCCCACGCCCUCCGCCA